rnacentral:rRNA from 1 species
CCUACGGGGGGCAGCAGUGGGGAAUAUUGGACAAUGGGCGAAAGCCUGAUCCAGCCAUGCCGCGUGUGUGAAGAAGGCCUUCGGGUUGUAAAGCACUUUCAGUGGGGAAGAAAGCCUUGGGGCUAAUACCCUCGAGGAAGGACAUCACCCACAGAAGAAGCACCGGCUAACUCCGUGCCAGCAGCCGCGGUAAUACGGAGGGUGCGAGCGUUAAUCGGAAUUACUGGGCGUAAAGCGCGCGUAGGCGGUCUGAUAAGCCGGUUGUGAAAGCCCCGGGCUCAACCUGGGAACGGCAUCCGGAACUGUCAGGCUAGAGUGCAGGAGAGGAAGGUAGAAUUCCCGGUGUAGCGGUGAAAUGCGUAGAGAUCGGGAGGAAUACCAGAGGCGAAGGCGGCCUUCUGGACUGACACUGACGCUGAGGUGCGAAAGCGUGGGUAGCAAACAGGAUUAGAUACCCGGGUAGUC